UACGUAGGGGGCAAGCGUUGUCCGGAUUUAUUGGGCGUAAAGAGCGUGUAGGCGGUUUGGUAGGUCCGCUGUGAAAACUCGAGGCUCAACCUCGAGACGCCGGUGGAAACCAUCAGACUAGAGUCCGGAAGAGGAGAGUGGAAUUCCUGGUGUAGCGGUGGAAUGCGCAGAUAUCAGGAGGAACACCGGUGGCGAAGGCGGGUCUCUGGGCAGUAACUGACGCUGAGGAGCGAAAGCGUGGGGAGCGAACAGG
rnacentral:rRNA from 1 species